rnacentral:lncRNA from 1 species
AAAAAAAAACUCGUGCCACAUGUUCAAUUAUUGUAGGAGAGUUUUGAAAUUAAAAUUUAUGAUAUCACUCCUUCAAGGGAAGAAGUAACGACAGCUACUGUAGUUAUUCUUCAACUUUUUUUUAUUUUAUUUUUUUAUUUUUUUAUUUGUGAGAUAAUAAUGGAAUUAGGGUUAAAGUGGGCCUUUGAAUUAGGCCCAAUCAAGGUCUUUUUUUUUGCACCUCCAUGUUCAUACAUAGACCCCCAUUUUGUGUGAUUUAUUUUCUGAUUAUUCUAAUAUAGCAUUUAGCUAGUUAAUUAAAUGUUUAUUU